UACGGGGGGGGGUAAGCGUUGUUCGGAAUUACUGGGCGUAAAGGGCUCGUAGGCGGCCAACUAAGUCAUACGUGAAAUCCCUCGGCUUAACCGGGGAACUGCGUCUGAUACUGGAUGGCUUGAGUUCGGGAGAGGGAUGCGGAAUUCCAGGUGUAGCGGUGAAAUGCGUAGAUAUCUGGAGGAACACCGGUGGCGAAGGCGGCAUCCUGGACCGAUACUGACGCUGAGGAGCGAAAGCCAGGGGAGCAAAGCGGG
rnacentral:rRNA from 1 species